GUGUGUUAAGGUUUGGGAACACAUUUAGCAUCUCUGGGAAGUGCUGGCUAGACUGUCCACCACAAAUACGAGCAGCAGUGUCCCUUCCUGCACCUCCAGCUGCUGCAAGGAGAGGCGUGCAGGAAGAGACAUCCCAGCUGACUGGCCAUCAGAGGUGAACCCGUGACCUGAACCUGUGAUCGCAUCACCACCACGAGGGGGACUUUGAAGGCCUUUCAAAGAGUCCUCAGAGCAGUUGUUUCAGGGCAGCACCAGCAGCUGUGGGAAAGCACCUUGAUGGAGCAUUCCACUCAAAGCAGGAAGCCUGCAAGAAGGAUCCUUGCAGCCCUGAUGCUCCCAUCUGUGCCAGCCACCAGCACUAGCCACUAU